GAUAACAUUUUGAUUUUUAAUCGACGUUUCGACUAGUUUGUAGUCAUCCUCAGGAUUAUUAAUCCUGAAGAUGACUACAAACUAGUCGAAACGUCGAUUAAAAAUCAAAAUGUUAUU
rnacentral:miRNA from 1 species